rnacentral:rRNA from 1 species
UACGAAGGGGGCUAGCGUUGCUCGGAAUCACUGGGCGUAAAGGGCGCGUAGGUGGUCUGAUAAGGGUGUGGUGAAAGCCCGGGGCUCAACCCCGGGUCGGCCGUGCCGACUGUUAGACUAGAGUGCUGUAGGGGCAGGCGGAAUUCCGGGUGUAGCGGUGGAAUGCGUAGAGAUCCGGAGGAAGACCGGUGGCGAAGGCGGCCUGCUGGGCAGAUACUGACACUGAGGCGCGACAGCGUGGGGAGCAAACAGG